rnacentral:rRNA from 1 species
CACGUAGGGGGCGAGCGUUGUCCGGAUUUAUUGGGCGUAAAGAGCUCGUAGGCGGCUCAGUAAGUCAGGUGUGAAAACUCCAGGCUCAACCUGGAGACGCCACCUGAUACUGCUGUGGCUAGAGUCCGGUAGGGGAGCAUGGAAUUCCUGGUGUAGCGGUGAAAUGCGCAGAUAUCAGGAGGAACACCAAUUGCGAAGGCAGCUCGCUGGGACGUUACUGACGCU